GAUGAACGCUGGCGGCGUGCCUAACACAUGCAAGUCGAGCGAGAAUUUGUGGAAUGCGGACUUCGGUCCAAGUGAAAUGAAGGAAAGCGGCGGACGGGUGAGUAACGCGUGGGCAACCUGCCCCAUACAAAGGGAUAGCCACUGGAAACGGUGAUUAAUACCAUAUGAAGCUUUCGGGUCGCAUGACCUGGAAGUUAAAGAUUUAUCGGUAUGGGAUGGGCCCGCGUCUGAUUAGCUGGUUGGUGAGGUAACGGCUCACCAAGGCGACGAUCAGUAGCCGACCUGAGAGGGUGAUCGGCCACACUGGAACUGAGACACGGUCCAGACUCCUACGGGAGGCAGCAGUGGGGAAUAUUGCACAAUGGGCGAAAGCCUGAUGCAGCAACGCCGUGUGAGUGAAGAAGGCCUUCGGGUCGUAAAACUCUGUCCUACGGGAAGAAACAAAUGACGGUACCAUGGGAGGAAGCCCCGGCUAACUACGUGCCAGCAGCCGCGGUAAUACGUAGGGGGCAAGCGUUAUCCGGAAUCACUGGGCGUAAAGGGUGCGUAGGCGGCUAAGCAAGCCAGGGGUGAAAGGCAUUGGCUCAACCAAUGUAAGCCUUUGGAACUGUUUGGCUUGAGUGCAGGAGAGGUAAGUGGAAUUCCUAGUGUAGAGGUGAAAUUCGUAGAUAUUAGGAGGAACACCAGUGGCGAAGGCGACUUACUGGACUGUAACUGACGCUGAGGCACGAAAGCGUGGGGAGCGAACA
rnacentral:rRNA from 1 species